rnacentral:rRNA from 1 species
AUUCAGCGGCGGACGGGUGAGUAAUGCCUAGGAAUCUGCCUGGUAGUGGGGGACAACGUUUCGAAAGGAACGCUAAUACCGCAUACGUCCUACGGGAGAAAGCAGGGGACCUUCGGGCCUUGCGCUAUCAGAUGAGCCUAGGUCGGAUUAGCUAGUAGGUGAGGUAAUGGCUCACCUAGGCGACGAUCCGUAACUGGUCUGAGAGGAUGAUCAGUCACACUGGAACUGAGACACGGUCCAGACUCCUGCGGGAGGCAGCAGUGGGGAAUAUUGGACAAUGGGCGAAAGCCUGAUCCAGCCAUGCCGCGUGUGUGAAGAAGGUCUUCGGAUUGUAAAGCACUUUAAGUUGGGAGGAAGGGCAGUAAGCUAAUACCUUGCUGUUUUGACGUUACCGACAGAAUAAGCACCGGCUAACUCUGUGCCAGCAGCCGCGGUAAUACAGAGGGUGCAAGCGUUAAUCGGAAUUACUGGGCGUAAAGCGCGCGUAGGUGGUUCGUUAAGUUGGAUGUGAAAGCCCCGGGCUCAACCUGGGAACUGCAUCCAAAACUGGCGAGCUAGAGU